CCGCGGGGCGGUGCCUGGCGGCGGGGGUGAAGGAGGCGCCGCGGAGCGCGCACGGGCGGGCUGAGACGGCCGCGGAGCGGGGCUGGCCGCGGCCCUGGCACGGCGGCGCCCGGGGGCGGGAGCCCGGCGGCCCGGAGGAAGAGGAGGGGCGCGCUGGGGGCGCCGGCGGAGGGCUCUAGGGGAAGAUGUUGUCUCUUCUGACAUCUUGCGAUUGAGAUACCUGAGAACAGGUUCAGUAAGAAUCCCGGUUUCCGAAGAAGACUCUUACGAACGUACUGAAAUAAGAAGUUGUAAACGCUCUUCUUUUCCUGUCAUCUGUACCGCAUAAGAAACCAUAAUCCGAAGCACUUCUCAGACACUUGCCCAGAUGUGCGAAGUCUGUCUGCAAAGUUCUCUGUCCAAACUGACCAUUUCUCAGUAAAUAGUACAUAUCCGCGUGUUUGGGAUGUGUAUAUAGUAGUCUGAAGAAAAAUCGCUUUCUGUAUAAAAUUCCCAGAAGGAACGCUUUAUUAUGGACAGCUUUUUCUGGAUUUACAUCCAGAGAGAUUAAUGCCUAGAGUUGAAAGGCAUUUAGUAUAUACUGAAAAGCUGGCUUUCCCUCAGUUUUUCCAGAUGUAUUGUCUCCCCUGUAUACUGGGAACAUACACAACUGCAUAAACUACAGAUGUAGUCAUGGAGCUGUAUGGACUUUUGAGCCAUAGGAGAAGUAUUGUUGAGUGCUGGUAUCAGACACUGCUUCAUGAUGUCAGCUGAACUGUGAUUGUUAUGCUAAUCAUAAUAAAGCACCCAAAUGGAGUGACA